rnacentral:misc_RNA from 1 species
AAACACAUCAGGGAUGUUGCACAAGAUGGUCCUGGCCUCGUUUUCAUCGUCUACCCAGAAGCAAUUUCUACACUUCCGGGAUCGUCCAUAUGGGGGAUUCUGUUCUUUUUCAUGUUAAUCACACUUGGAUUGGAUAGUGCGUUUGGCGGGCUGGAGUCCCCGUUGACGGGACUGAGGGACGAGUUUUACAGGGUGUUCAGACACCGGUGGGCCCGGGAAGUGUUGACCCUGAUCAUAGUCGUCAGUGCCUUCCUAUUCUCCAUUCCAUGUAUGACUGUUGGAGGGAUGUACGUGUUUAAGAUACUGGACACCUUCGCCGCCGGAACUUCCAUCGUGUUCGCCAUUCUCAUGCAGGUCGUGGCCGUGUCGUGGGUUUAUGGAGUAGACCAGUUUUGCUCCGACAUCUAUCAGAUGACCGGACACAGACCCGGGCUGUACUGGAGAGUGUGCUGGAAGAUUUUGUGUCCUACAUUCCUACUGAUUAUUGUGAUAUCAAGCUUUCUUCAUUACCGACCUUUGACCUAUAAGGGCAGUAUGGGAUUGUACACCUAUCCCACGUUUGCUAACGUCAUCGGGUGGGGCGUGGCCCUCUCGUCCAUGCUAAUGAUUCCGGGGUACGCCAUAUACUACCUCCUAACCAGAAAGGGGACAUUGAAACAGAGAUUGGCAAAGGGCAUAACCCCAAAGCGAGAUCACGAAGACAUUGCGAGAACCGAUGACGUCAAAAGAUUCAGGCUGAAGCACUGGAUGACCGUUUGAUGAAUAUAUGUGGAAGAAACUUAUGGGAGAAUUUCCAGAUUAGAGAACCGAUGUUAUCAACUUUUAUUAUCAUAAAUAAAUGACGCGACCGAUUGUGAAAAAUAUGUGUUUGUGCAAUAUCAGCGAUGUAACAACUUUUAUUUAUUUUAGCGGGUAUUAAUUUUCAAAUCAGGUUUCAAUAUUGUUAAUUUUGUGCAACAUGUUUAUUUGUGCGUUUAAAAAAAAAUCAUGUGAAAUAGCCUAUUGUAUGUCUUUAUAUUGUAUUAAUUAUCAUUAAAUAAAUACAAGCGU